UACGUAGGGUGCAAGCGUUAAUCGGAAUUACUGGGCGUAAAGCGUGCGCAGGCGGUUAUGUAAGACAGGGGGGAAAUCCCCGGGCUUAACCUGGGAACUGCAUUUGUGACUGCAUAGCUAGAGUACGGUAGAGGGGGAUGGAAUUCCGCGUGUAGCAGUGAAAUGCGUAGAUAUGCGGAGGAACCCCGAUGGCGAAGGCAAUCCCCUGGACCUGUACUGACGCUCAUGCACGAAAGCGUGGGGAGCAAACAGG
rnacentral:rRNA from 1 species